UUCACAGCAUCCCUGUAACCUGCCAUACAGGCCUAGAGGCUUUAGCAUGCACUGAAUGAAUGAGCAUGUCCGGGCUAAUGGAAAGAGCAGCCAGGCUUGUGGCUAUAGCUGCAAUUACUAGCACAAGCUGAACAAAGAUAUUUCAAACAGUUUCCCCAAGCAUCUGAAGUGUACAGUUAGCCUAUACAUCUGUCGUAGCCUCCCUGAGGAUUAGCCACAGGUGGGGCAAGACCCCUGUCACAGCUUCUUCCUGUUUCCUUGGGAACAGUAUCUAUGGCAACAGCUUUUUUCGAGUCCUGAGAACACCAAUGUAACCUGACGGCCACAACAAUUAGCGAUAGAGCAAUACAUCAAUCAUGUUGCCCGCAGCGUGAAUGCACAGUAAGAAGCCAUCAUCAACGACAACUGGAGCCACAUCAUUAGCAUAUGCCAGUCACCCUCUGCAGCCAGUGUGUGUGCAGCCAGCCACCAGAACAGAAAGAACAACACACAGACAUUCAAAUGUCAGCCAGUGAAUGCCAGCUCUAUUAAUAUUUCAGGACCAAUUAAAUAAAAGCACACAUCAUGCAUGUUUAAUGUCCGACUGCUGAGAGAGCCAACUUUGCCCUCAUAUCCUCUACAGGUAGGCCGGGCUAAUGAUUGAGAGCUUAGCAUACAAAGGCUGUCUUUACGUUUUACCAAAUUAUUUGCUCCCUCUCUAGCACAGGCUGUGGUUGUGCCACAGACUGACCCAAGACCUAUUUUGGGUUCCAGCUCAACAGGCUCCAGACAGUCUGAUCCUGUUGGCACAGAUACCCAACAACAAUGCAGUUAUGUAUAUAUGGCCAUAAUACAGACUUAAGGCUUCAUCCCUACUGAUUUUAGCAGUGAGCGAAAUAACGUUAGAACCUAAUGUUGUGAUAUUUGACUUUGAUGCCCAGUCUUAUCAUUAAUUAAGUACCUUGGAGAUACAGAACUAUUGAGAUAUACAUUGUCAUUGUGUGUCAUUUUAUGAACUAAAAAUAUCAUGAUAAAUACAAUUUUAUGGCCAUAUUACCCAGCCCUAACAAACAUGUUUUGGUGGCCAACCAAAGUCUUAACAUAUUUGUUUCCCUUUGUUGCCCUGUCACAUUGUAUAAGCUCUUUUAACAUGACUCUCAAUAAAACUGUAAUAACUCUCAGCUUUGUGUUGUCAACAGCCGUAAAGGGACGCUGGUGCAGCUAUAAGCACUGUAAACCAGAGGCCAUACAGAUCUAUACUGCGGUCUAUUCUACUGGUUUCUAUCCAUUUUGGCUCCUCCCCAGCACUUCCAUUAGAUCCCUUCAGAUUCUGUUUUCAUCAUUUGCACCAUCUGCCACUGAGACCUCCGGCACUUAAGCUUCAUUUGAGCAGAAAACAGUGUCCUAUUAAGAUCUUGGACAAUCUGCAAAAACUGUCUAAAAAAAACAACCAGAAGAGAACGAACAGGGAACAGAAAAAAGGAACUGCAUGCUCAUGUAACCUGAACUUCAGAGACGACAAACGACUGAAAACCAACAUCGUCACAAAUGAACAGAGCUAUGACGGCAUGCGACGGGCUCAGAGGCGG